UACGUAGGGUGCAAGCGUUUAAUCGGAAUUACUGGGCGUAAAGAGCUUGUAGGCGGUUGUCGCGUCUGCCGUGAAAAUCCGGGGCUUACCCCGGGCCUGCAGUGGGUACGGGCAGACUAGAGUGCGGUAGGGGAGACUGGAAUUCCUGGUGUAGCGGUGAAAUGCGCAGAUAUCAGGAAGAACACCCGUGGCUAAGGCGGUUCUCUAGUACGGUACUGACGCUGAGACGCGAAAGCGUGGGGAGCGAACAGG
rnacentral:rRNA from 1 species